UUCAAGACAAUUUGAAAAGAUGCGAUAUAACUUGACAGACAACUUUCAGCUAAGUGCAAUUCAAGACAUAUGCUGUGAAGACUACUUGCCAAACUUGGUUUCCAUAUGCAUCCAACAAUAAAUUCUCUGGCGGCAAAGACACAUACCAACCCAAAGAAAGUUUAAUGAGUGGUAAGAGACAACUGACAAGCCUCUCACACAUAAGAAAUUCGCUCUCAUCUAACAA